GACGAACCGUGCGAACGUUGUUCGGAUUCACUGGGCUUAAAGGGCGCGUAGGCGGGCGGUCAAGUCAGGGGUGAAAUCUUUCAGCUCAACUGGAAAAGUGCCUUUGAUACUGACUGUCUUGAGGGAGGUAGGGGCAUGUGGAACUUCCGGUGGAGCGGUGAAAUGCGUAGAUAUCGGAAGGAACGCCGGUGGCGAAAGCGACGUGCUGGACCUCUUCUGACGCUGAGGCGCGAAAGCUAGGGGAGCAAAC
rnacentral:rRNA from 1 species